GAGAGCCGUGUGAUGGGUGACUAUCCAGCACAGUUCGGAGAGCACUUUCAGACUGCGCUGGUGAAUGGAAGCCCCCCCUAUCAAGCAAGAAGGAAGCGGAUCUUCCCACGGCGAAGUCACCAUUGACUCUAU
rnacentral:ncRNA from 1 species